GUUGCGGUUAAAAAGCCCGUAGUUGGAUCUCGGCGGGCAGGGGGUGGUUCGCUCUUCAGCGCUACUGCCCCGCUUUGCCCGUGUGAUUGGCGGAGGUUUCGGGGUGCUCUUCGUUGAGUGACUCGGAGCGCCGUCAGGUUUACUUUGAAAAAAUUAGAGUGCUCAAAGCAGGCUUUUCACGCUUGAAAAUUCGUGCAUGGAAUAAUGGAAUAGGAACUCGUUUCUAUUUUGUUGGUUCUCGGGAAUCGAGUUAAUGAUUAACAGGGACAAUUGGGGGCAUUAGUAUUCAGACGACAGAGGUGAAAUUCUUGGACCGUCUGAAGACUGACUACUGCGAAAGCAUUUGCCAAGAGUGUUUUCAUUAAUCAAGAACGAAAGUUAGAGGUUCGAAGGCGAUCAGAUACCGCCCUAGUUCUAACCAUAAACGAUGCCAGCUAGCGAUCUGCCGAGUUUUUUUGUAGGCUCCGCAGGAAGCUUUCGGGAAACCAAAGCUUUUGGGUUCCGGGGGAAGUAUGG
rnacentral:rRNA from 1 species